UACGGAGGGAGCUAGCGUUGUUCGGAAUUACUGGGCGUAAAGCGCUCGUAGGUGGUUUGUCGCGUUGUUCGUGAAAACUCACAGCUCAACUGUGGGCGUGCGGGCGAUACGGGCAGACUGGAGUACUGCAGGGGAGACUGGAAUUCCUGGUGUAGCGGUGGAAUGCGCAGAUAUCAGGAGGAACACCGGUGGCGAAGGCGGGUCUCUGGGCAGUAACUGACGCUGAGGAGCGAAAGCGUGGGGAGCGAACAGG
rnacentral:rRNA from 1 species